CUGAAAGUGACCAUAUUUGGAAAUAGGGUCUUGUCGCUAUAAGCAGUUAAGACGAGGUCAUAGUGGACUAGGCUGGGCCCUAAAUCCAAUGACUGCUGUCCUUAGAAGAGGAGAAGAAGAUACCAGGGAAGAAGGCCGCAAUGAUGGAGAUGGGUGGGACUGGAGUGAUGCAUCUACAAGCCAAGGACCUCUGGCCACCAUCAGAAGCUGGGAAGGAGGCACAGGACAGGUUCUCCCUCAGAGUCUCCAGAAGGAACCAACCUGCUCACGCCUUGAUUUCAGACUCUGGCCUCCAGAAUGGGAGGCAGAGUCUGGCUACGUGGCCACCAAUGCAGUUGCCUUCUGCUCCAGGGCACACACUAAACUACGUUUCCCAGGCCGCUUGCCCUUGGUUUGGAGCCUAGUGACUGAGUUCCGGACAACGGACUGAAGACAGAAGUGGUGUCGCCACUUCCAGACCUGCCUGCCUGGCCUAAAACACCACCUAUGUGCCAUCUCAGUUCUCUCUUCUCCACCCUCAGUGGCUUUGGCAGCAUAGUCAUUGGGAGUGAGUAUAAGAGUGAAGAGACGAAGGAGCAGGUGAAUCUGGGGAGACAUCAUGGGAGAGAGACCCUGGAGCAUCCUGUGGAGGCUGUAAAGGUCUGGUCCCCAAAAUCUGAAUAAACUCUCGUUGUGGGCAGAAUGCAUACCUCUCCACGUCUGUGUCCCCAUGGCUUCAGGCCUGGGGCCACACACUCAAGAGGCCUUCAGGAAUGCCAGGCACAGGAACUCUGCGAAGGAGCAGGUAAGGUCUGGGGUUUCAGUGCACCCUGAGCGCUGAUGGGGACACUCUCCUGGGGGCCCCAAUGGAGCCACCUGCUGGAGUGCUUCUUCAGGUAGGUCUGGCUACCUGACCUGGGAGGUAGAGUUUUAGUAGCCUGGGGACACCCCUUUCUCUGUAGCCCAUGACUCCUGCUUCUCUGGGUGUGUGUGGGAGGGAUGGGACUACGGAGUUCACAGAGCGGGUCAAAACAAAAGAGGCUGGCAGGGCAGCAGUGCCAGGGGAACCACCCAUCUCUGCCUUCUGCGCCUGAGGCCUCCUGGGCAGCUGCAAGGUGAGGAAAUUUGAGAAGAGGCAGAUUGGGUUUGCUCCCCUGGUUCUCCCGGCAGCACUAGAUAAAAAGAGGCAGGACGGCUUUCCCACACAGCUGUUUCGUCAUUCUCUAGGUACCAGACUUGGCUCCCUGGAUCCCUGAGAUGCCCAGAGGAGUGCACAGUCUAGUGCUGGAAGCAGCAGGUAAGUGACAAUUAUAUCUUAAGGCAAAGGAAGAAGAGCAGAGGUCCCCGCCAGGACUGUGGGGCACAGACACAGAGGAUGUUGUUGAGCAGCCCUGUGAGGUGAGGGCCCUCCCGGAAGUGACACAAGGGCAGAUCUAGAGGGGGAGGAGGAGGAGGAGCAGAAGGAAUCGGCAGCAGCCCUGGGGCUCAUCCUGGUUCUCACCUGGCACUAACAUCUACUGAAAAAGCAGGAGUGAUUCUUUCUUCCCUCCUCCCCCACACCCUUUUCCCUCUUGUUUGUUCCUAGUUUUCCCAGGUGGCCAAGAUGAGGGGUCUCUCCCUUCUGGACUUUUCCUGAAGCAGAGCACCAAGCAGUCUUGAGAGGCCUGUCUGCUGUCACAGCAUAGGUCACCAUCGAGGGAUUCUGAUGAGUGUGCACGAGGGGCAGGGCCUUUGAGAAUCAGGCAGGGGACCCUGUCCCCACUCUACUCAAACUGAAUGGGGAAGGAAGGAGGCCUGGGAGCCACUGUCACUCUCACUCUGCUCCAGCUUCCCUGAGAUGGAAGCCAGGACUCAGGAGGAUGACUGAGUGUGGAAAAGAGGGAGGCUGAGAGCCCAGGAGGGCAUUCCCAACCUCAGAAAAGAUCCCUGGGUCCCACAGGGACCUCAAAACUGAAAGAUACUAUACCUGGAAACACCACAGACCUGAACAAUGAGGAGAACAGUGGCGAGUCUGAUAAACUGGAGAGGAGAGACCCUUCGCUGAUCCUCAGGGCUCCGUAUCAGCAUUCCGGGGUGCCAGGACACCCUGGCAGGGGAGGGGCCCGACUGUGCCCGUGAAGGAUCCUGUAGGAAGGAGUAGGUCUUGGAGUCAGAAUUAAGUUGAUUUAAAGAGAAUCAAUUUAGCAGACUGAGAUUCACACACAUUAUAUAUGCUUGAUUGUGUAACUUCCUCUUUCCUUCCUCAGCAGUUUUAAAGGUG
rnacentral:lncRNA from 1 species